UACGGAGGAUGCAAGCGUUGUCCGGAAUUAUUGGGCGUAAAGCGAACGUAGGCGGCUUCUUAAGUUUGGUCUUAAAGACCGGGGCUCAACCCCGGGAAUGGACUGAAUACUGGGAGGCUGGAGGAUGUCAGAGGAAAGUGGAAUUCCCAGUGUAGCGGUGAAAUGCGUAGAUAUUGGGAGGAACACCAGUGGCGAAAGCGACUUUCUGGGGCAUUCCUGACGCUGAGGUUCGAAAGCUCGGGGAGCAAACAGG
rnacentral:rRNA from 1 species